rnacentral:rRNA from 1 species
GAUGAACGCUGGCGGCGUGCCUAAUACAUGCAAGUCGAGCGAACAGACGAGGAGCUUGCUCCUCUGACGUUAGCGGCGGACGGGUGAGUAACACGUGGAUAACCUACCUAUCAGACUGGGAUAACUUCGGGAAACCGGAGCUAAUACCGGAUAAUAUAUUGAACCGCAUGGUUCAAUAGUGAAAGACGGUUUUGCUGUCACUUAUAGAUGGAUCCGCGCCGCAUUAGCUAGUUGGUAAGGUAACGGCUUACCAAGGCACCGAUGCGUAGCCGACCUGAGAGGGUGAUCGGCCACACUGGAACUGAGACACGGUCCAGACUCCUACGGGAGGCAGCAGUAGGGAAUCUUCCGCAAUGGGCGAAAGCCUGACGGAGCAACGCCGCGUGAGUGAUGAAGGUCUUCGGAUCGUAAAACUCUGUUAUUAGGGAAGAACAAAUGUGUAAGUAACUAUGCACGUCUUGACGGUACCUAAUCAGAAAGCCACGGCUAACUACGUG